ensembl:lncRNA
CUUAGCUCUAAACUGCAAAGCUGGCCCGUUUUUCAAGGUUUCCCAUUUAGGGCCCCACAGAUUCCUAUAAAGAUUCUGAACAUACACAUCACCUCAGAAAGUUCCCUUGUCAGAUCAGCCUUUGCUCUUAAGGGAACUACUCUUCUAGUUAUUUUCUACUAUGAGUUGAUUUUGUCUCUUCUUGGACUUCGUAUACUUGGAAUCUCACAAUAUGCACUCUUUUGGCCAAUCCGCAGCAAUCCUAGGCAGAGACUUGCUUGGCCGGAGCCGAAAGGGAUUUUGUAGAUGCAGUUUACAGCAACGACAACAGAAUAUCAGAGUGUAAAGACCAGAUCAAGAGUUGAAAUACCAGCCAGAGGGCUGAUUUCAUUGAUUCCACAAAGAUUUAUAUGUUUUAUCUGGAAG